GUGGAGGUGAAGGUGUUUGGUUGGAGCUCCCUAUGUACCUGAGGCCUUUCAAAGAAUUUGCAGGUGACUGAAGACGGUCAAGUUAUUGGUCCCACUGCAGACAGAAGCACACAACUCUGCUGUCUAUGAAACAUCGGCAUGGUACUCUUGUAAUGGAGGAAGGAUUGACUGAUAUUAGAACAUCUAAGAUGACAGGUCCAGAGAAGGAUUUGCCAAAGGAAUCUGGUGGUAACCAGUCAGGUAAAUUAGGAAAUAUUCCCAUCACUAAAAUGUAAUUCAGCAGAUUGUUUCCAUGUUUCUUCCUGAUACCAAACUCUCCUUACAAUGGUGGAUUCUCAAGCAGCAUGAGCACUUAAAGUUGCUCAUUUAAUGAGUUACAUGAAAUCAGAACCAACUGGUUGGUCUGAUUUCUGAGUGGUCCUGUGUGGGGCCAGGUGUUGGAAUUGGUGAUACACUUCCCUUCCA
rnacentral:lncRNA from 1 species